GACGAACGCUGGCGGCGUGCUUAACACAUGCAAGUCGAACGGAAAGGCCCUGCUUUUGUGGGGUGCUCGAGUGGCGAACGGGUGAGUAACACGUGAGUAACCUGCCCUUGACUUUGGGAUAACUUCAGGAAACUGGGGCUAAUACCGGAUAGGAGCUCCUGCUGCAUGGUGGGGGUGGGAAAGUUUCGGCGGUUGGGGAUGGACUCGCGGCUUAUCAGCUUGUUGGUGGGGUAGUGGCUUACCAAGGCUUUGACGGGUAGCCGGCCUGAGAGGGUGACCGGCCAAACUGGGACUGGGCUACGGCCCAGACUCCUACGGGAGGCAGCAGUGGGGAAGAUUGCACAAUGGGCGGAAGCCUGAUGCAGCAACGCCGCGUGCGGGAUGACGGCAUUCGGGUUGUAAACCGAUUUCGCCUGUGACGAAGCGUGAGUGACGGUAAUGGGUAAAGAAGCACCGGCUAACUCCGUG
rnacentral:rRNA from 1 species